rnacentral:rRNA from 1 species
GUAGGUGGCAAGCGUUGUCCGGAAUUAUUGGGCGUAAAGCGCGCGCAGGCGGUUCUUUAAGUCUGAUGUGAAAGCCCACGGCUCAACCGUGGAGGGUCAUUGGAAACUGGAGAACUUGAGUACAGAAGAGGAAAGCGGAAUUCCACGUGUAGCGGUGAAACGCGUAGAGAUGUGGAGGAACACCAGUGGCGAAGGCGGCUUUUCUGGUCUGUAACUGACGCUGAGGCGCGAAAGCGUGGGGAGCAAACAGGGAUUAGAUACCCUGGUAGUCCACGCCGUAAACGAUGAGUGCUAAGUGUUAGGGGGUUUCCGCCCCCUUAGUGCUGCAGCUAACGCAUUAAGCACUCCGCCUGGGGAUACGGCCGCAAGGCUG